CCACGCUAUGUUGACACACACCUUUAAUCCCAGCACUCAGGAGGCAGAGGCAGGUGGAUGGAUAUCUGUUGAGUUUGAGACCAGCCUAGUUAGUCUACAGAGCAAGUUCCAGGACAGACUCCAAAACUACACAGAGAAACCCUGUCUGGAAAAAAAAAAAGAAGAAGAAAGAAAAAGGGGAGAAAAAGUAAUGACAACAAAAGCAAAUUGUGUUUUGUAUGAAGAAUUUCACAGGGUUGUACAUUCUGGCUGGAUAAGGGCAGAGAGGAAAUGAAACAACAGAAGGUUUUAAAAGAUAAAGUACUUUAAAUUCCAAACACCAAAUGACAUUGAGAAGUUCACAAAGCCUGCUGGAUGUCUGACCGCCUGCUAGCCUUUUCAGCGAGGACUCCACAGGAACGAGGGUGGAGUCCCCCCCCCAAAAAAAACAAAAAGCAAAUAGUUGGUCACAGAAAAGGAUCCUUUGAAAUCUGUGCACGCAGGACGAAACAUCCAAAGAACUUUAGAGCUCUUUAAGCCGCAACCAGAGCCACGCUCCGGAAACGAGCAGGAUUAAACUAUACAAGGCCCGGAAGUAUUCACCCGGUUAACUCCUUAUCUAGGUGCGUGCUGCUGCCUGGAUUCACCCUCCCCAUUCCGGGGACCGCAGGAGGAGGUCCGAGUGCGAGAUGCCUGAACUCUUGACCCUAGUCUACACCACAGUCUCCCAAGACCUCGGUAGACGGACCCGGCGUGACCCCCGACCUCAGCCCAGGCUUUCGCGGUAGCCCCGCCCCCGCCCGGUCGCCCACCCCACCCAACGUGCGCGCCAGGCGGGGGUGGGGGGGAGGGGCCCGCGCGUGCGCGGCUGGAGGCGGAGUGAUCCGGCGGCGCGCACGGCCUGGGGGGGUUCCCGCCAGAACCCAAAACCAGAGACCGGGUCGCGGGACUCGCGAGUCCGCGUCCGCGCCCGCCGGCGCCCUCACGUCAACAGGCCGCAAAAGGCUGAGGAAGAAAGGGUUCGAGAGCGCCAAGCCUCGGUCUCUCCCCCAAGUGGACUGUGGCGGGCACACGCCCGGGCUGUUCGUCUCAUGCACCCUUUCCUCUUCCUCUCCCCUGAGGGGAGGCAGGUUGGUGGGCGGGCAGAAGCGCACCUGGGUCCGUCCUCUCGGGGUUUGUUCGCUCACGCACGCGUGCGCAGAAGGGCAGGAGGGCGAGGAAGACGCGCGGAGACCAGAGGCCACCCGGCCUGACACCCUCCCCCCGCCCCCCGCUCGGGUCUCUAUGGGCGCGCGCAGGGCCGCAGCUAGAGCCGCCCCCGUGCUCGCACCGCUCCUGGUCCCGCCACGGAGAUGCGAUCAGUAAGUUGCAGGAAAAGGAGACGCUACUCCCAGCGACCCCGCCGCCGCCGCCGCCGCUCCCGAGGCCUCACCAAAAUGGCCGCCGCCUUCUCGGCCGCCACCGCCACUACCACCACUACCACCACCAAGGCUCGUUAUCGCUACCGCCGGAGCGGCCCGUCUUCUCGCGAUACACAGUAACUGGAGGCUGGAGGGGCGGGUAGGCUCGCGUGCUAGCGUAGGACUCUUGUCUGGAGCGCAAAGCAAGAUGGGAGUUGUAGUCAGUUCCCCAGUUCCGUGCUUGCCCGGCACGCUUCGUGGGAUCUGAAACCAGUCAACUCCGUGCUGCGUUGAAGCUGUACAGUGGGAACAUCCUUUGGGAGGGUUUCUCCGAAACCUGGCACUCGCUCUGGAACCAGGCUGGCCUCGAACUCACAGAGAUCUGCCUGCCUCUGCCUCCCGAGUGCUGGGUUUAAAGGCAUGCGCCACCAACGCCUGGCAGAAACCCAUCUUGAAAACACAAAAUGAGUAAGUAAAUGAAGA
ensembl:lncRNA